rnacentral:rRNA from 1 species
UGAGGAAUCUUGCGCAAUGGGGGAAACCCUGACGCAGCAACGCCGCGUGAGUGAGGAAGGUCUUCGGGUCGUAAAGCUCUGUCAGGCGGGAAGAAAUGCAUGGAGGUGAACAGCCGCCAUGCUUGACGGUACCGCCAGAGGAAGCACCGGCUAACUCCGUGCCAGCAGCCGCGGUAAUACGGGGGGUGCAAGCGUUGUUCGGAAUCAUUGGGCGUAAAGAGCGGGUAGGCGGCUUGGUAAGUCAGAUGUGAAAGCCCUGGGCUCAACCCGGGAAGUGCAUUUGAAACAGCCAGGAUCGAGUAGGGGAGAGGGAAGUGGAAGUACUGGUAUAGAGGUGAAAUUCGUAGAUAUCAGGAGGAACACCGGUGGCGAAGGCGACUUCCUGGCCCUAUACUGACGCUGAGACGCGAGAGCGUGGGUAGCAAACAG